rnacentral:sRNA from 1 species
GCCCUUGGAGGGAAAAUCAUCAUCGUCCCGUGGGGAUGGCUAUGUUAAAAACCUCCCACACAGAAUCGCUUUCACUGGUUCAAAUGAAUCCUUGUUCAGGCGAACUCCACUCCUCCUAGCCACCUUCCUUGAGGUCAUUCUCAUUAUUCUUAUCUCAGUGUGGAGAGGUAGUGGGAGAACUCUAAAACAACAGGGAAAACCGAGGAAAUUUUAUUUUAAAUAGCGGGUUGCAGUUCUGACAGCCCUUUUCAACGUGAUAAGAACGCGCGGAUGUAAGAAGCCUCUUUAUUUGAUUGAGUAUUCCGUUUGAUAAAUGAAAGUUGAGUGAUCUCCCCGCUCCCAAGUUGAGCAGCCCAUCGCAAGAAUUCAAGUGAUAUCUUCUUGGCCGGGAUAAACCUCCAGUUGCAUGAAUUUGCAAAUUCGUUCCCAACUUGCCCUCCCUCCUUUACAAAUCACAGAAGCAUAGCAAAAAAAAAAAAAAAAAGGUGGGAUGACAAAACGCCCAUACGUGCAAACCGACAUUACAUACAUGCCACCAGGUGUGCAUUGCAUAUUCCGACGUCCCAAGUUUAGGCCCGCUAUCCCACGGACGCCGCACAGCCGGCAGAAGAGACGUUAUGAAACAUCCGCAAAUCGGUGGAGUUAAACAGAAUCUGGCACCUGGCAGUCGUGAAAAAUACUAGGUAAGGCGGCCACUACGAGGAGCUGGAAGGCGAUCCAUCCUCUGGGUUAUCAUGGCAUUUUUCAGCUACUUCAGGCUCCACGACAAAUCGGGGGUUCUAAAGAUGGGAGAAUAUGGGAGGCGCUCCGAGCGGGCCAGGCCGCUCAAUCUACGCGCGCAUGACAGCAUCUUUGGCUAGGGUCUAGGUAGAUGAUCAGCUCCAUCGGAGCUGAAAACCCCGCUGUCAAAAGUUGUUGGAGCCAUUCAGAGGCAGCAUCCCAGAAGCCACCUGAUCAGAUAUGCAGGUAUAUAUCUUGCCGAGCAAUCGAAGGUGAGGGAGAAAGUGAGUUGCCCACGGUAUGUAAAUAUGACUGAUUUUGAGGAAUCUAUUCUGAAAAGAAGGGAUGGCAUUUCAAUGGAGCUGUUCAUGGAGCUAUGCAUCUUGCAGAAAAGGGAUAUUUCCCUCCCCCCCCCUUGUUCAGUGGCUUGUUCCGCAGAAGAAUAACUAGAUGAGAUGUUUACAGGAUAUCCACGUUUCUGAUCACCAACUGUCAAAGCGCAAAAGCCAAAAAGUGGUUUCAAGGGAACUCACCCAGAGUUUAAGCUGUCAAAUGUGAUUGAUACCCCUGUCCACUUGGAAAACCACUUCCACCCCUGGAUGAGGUCUUUACCAUGGCAGUCGGAUUCGCCAGGUUUAAGUCUUCUGGACUUAUGACUCAGGGAGCACGAGCCGGAAGGAUUUGCAGGGAGGGCCCCUGUAUUCUCAGUUAUUUUCCACGGAAAUCGCAAUGCCAUGAUAGCUACAGGUACGGAACAUUUUGAAGGUCGGGGGGAUUGAUGAGCCGACGACGCAAAAAACUGAACGCAAGUGCUAAGAGUAUGAUGAAUUCGGCAGUUAUAACUAGAGUGGCCUUUAAUAUGCGCAUCAACCCCUGGCAAUAAUUUGCUUCCGGUGUCUUUGCCCCCAUUCAAACAAACGUUCUCCCAUCCUUGUGGGAAAAAUCUUAGCUAGCUCGUUGCAGGCAAAAAGUGUCUAGGCUACCUGUCACUGCAUCAUGUAGGAACAAAAGUUCUGUCAACAACAUUCAGCGUAGAGACAAAGAAAUUAAAUGUCCAA